GCGGCAGCAGCCCCAGCCUCAAGGCCAGCAGAAUACUUCUGAGGCAAGAAACUAAAAUCUACUUGUCAUAUUUUCCAAAUGUUAUUUAUCAAAGUAACAAAGAAUGACUUCCCAAACACAUUUGAAAACAUUUUAGGGUCCGAAUGGACAUAUCUUGCCCUAUCAUCAUGCAUUUGGAAAUACUUUUCUGUGGGGCUGUCUUAGAUACUGUUAAUACCUUUGCAUACUUCUGGAAAUAAGAUGAUCAUCAGGAAACUGCAGACCUGCUGCCUUUUCUCUUGUUAUGUCUUGUACAGAGCAUCGAGAGGCAGUUUUCAUCAUAGUGAUGAUAGAUAUGUUUGUGUUUGAAUGUGUACCAGAAAGUGACUCAAUAAAAAUGCUUUGUUUAAAGUA